rnacentral:rRNA from 1 species
GUCAACGUCCAUACCAUGUUGAAGACACCGGUUCUCGUCCGAUCACCGAAGUUAAGCAACAUCGGGCGCGGUCAGUACUUGGAUGGGUGACCGCCUGGGAACACCGCGUGACGUUGACUUUU